rnacentral:rRNA from 1 species
GACGAACGCUGGCGGCGUGCUUAACACAUGCAAGUCGAACGGAAAGGCCCUGCUUUUGUGGGGUGCUCGAGUGGCGAACGGGUGAGUAACACGUGAGUAACCUGCCCUUGACUUUGGGAUAACUUCAGGAAACUGGGGCUAAUACCGGAUAGGAGCUCCUGCUGCAUGUGGGGGGUUGGAAAGUUUCGGCGGUUGGGGAUGGACUCGCGGCUUAUCAGCUUGUUGGUGGGGUAGUGGCUUACCAAGGCUUUGACGGGUAGCCGGCCUGAGAGGGUGACCGGCCACAUUGGGACUGAGAUACGGCCCAGACGCCUACGGGAGGCAGCAGUGGGGAAUAUUGCACAAUGGGCGGAAGCCUGAUGCAGCAACGCCGCGUGCGGGAUGACGGCCUUCGGGUUGUAAACCGCUUUCGCCUAUGACGAAGCGUGAGUGACGGUAAUGGGUAAAGAAGCACCGGCUAACUACGUG